rnacentral:rRNA from 1 species
AACGAACGCUGGCGGCAGGCCUAACACAUGCAAGUCGAGCGCUGUAGCAAUACAGAGCGGCGCACGGGUGAGUAACACGUGGGAACGUGCCCUUUGGUUCGGAAUAACCCAGGGAAACUUGGGCUAAUACCGGAUGAGCCCUAACGGGGAAAGAUUUAUCGCCGAAGGAGCGGCCCGCGUCGGAUUAGCUAGUUGGUGGGGUAAAAGCCUACCAAGGCAACGAUCCGUAGCUGGUUUGAGAGAACGACCAGCCACACUGGGACUGAGACACGGCCCAGACUCCUACGGGAGGCAGCAGUGGGGAAUCUUGGACAAUGGGGGAAACCCUGAUCCAGCCAUGCCGCGCGAGUGAUGAAGGCCCUAGGGUUGUAAAACUCUUUCGGCGGGGACGAUAACGACGGUACCCGCAGAAGAAGCUCCGGCUAACUUCGUGCCAGCAGCCGCGGUAAUACGAAGGGGGCUAGCGUUGUUCGGAAUUACUGGGCGUAAAGCGCGCGCAGGCGGUUCUUCAAGUCAGAGGUGAAAGCCC